UGGGUCUAAAACGGGUCAUGACCUUGAACAAUUGGGCAUCUCUCUCUAUGUUGGAUCGAGAAUUGAGUUACUUGGUUAAACAAACAAACAAACUUUAAAAAAAAAAAAAAAAAAAAAAAAAAAAAUUUUUUUUUUUUUUUUUUUUUAUCCAGUGCGGGCAUCUGCCCGC
rnacentral:sRNA from 1 species